rnacentral:rRNA from 1 species
GACGAACGCUGGCGGCGUGCUUAACACAUGCAAGUCGAACGGAAAGGCCCUGCUUUUGUGGGGUGCUCGAGUGGCGAACGGGUGAGUAACACGUGAGUAACCUGCCCUUGACUUUGGGAUAACUUCAGGAAACUGGGGCUAAUACCGGAUAGGAGCUCCUGCUGCAUGGUGGGGGUUGGAAAGUUUCGGCGGUUGGGGAUGGACUCGCGGCUUAUCAGCUUGUUGGUGGGGUAGUGGCUUACCAAGGCUUUGACGGGUAGCCGGCCUGAGAGGGUGACCGGCCACAUUGGGACUGAGAUACGGCCCAGACUCCUACGGGAGGCAGCAGUGGGGAAUAUUGCACAAUGGGCGGAAGCCUGAUGCAGCAACGCCGCGUGCGGGAUGACGGCCUUCGGGUUGUAUACCGCUUUCGCCUGUGACGAAGCGUGAGUGACGGUAAUGGGUAAAGAAGCACCGGCUAACUACGUG